rnacentral:rRNA from 1 species
UGCGAGUCAUUGUAGCAAUACAAGGCAGACGGCUCAGUAACGCGUAGUCAAUCUACCCUAUGGACGGGAAUAACCUCGGGAAACUGAGAAUAAUGCCCGACAGAACAUUAUACCUGGAACGGUUUAUGUUUCAAAUGAUUUAUCGCCGUAGGAUGGGACUGCGGCCUAUCAGUUUGUUGGUGAGGUAAUGGCCCACCAAGACUAUUACAGGUACGGGCUCUGAGAGGAGUAGCCCGGAGAUGGGUACUGAGACACGGACCCAGGCCCUAUGGGGCGCAGCAGGCGAGAAAACUUUGCAAUGUGCGAAAGCACGACAAGGUUAAUCCGAGUGGUUUCUGCUAAAGAAACCUUUUGCUAGUCCUAGAAACACUAGUGAAUAAGGGGUGGGCAAGUUCUGGUGUCAGCCGCCGCGGUAAAACCAGCACCUCAAGUGGUCAGGAUGAUUAUUGGGCCUAAAGCAUCCGUAGCUCGUUUUGUAAGUUUUCGGUUAAAUCCAUACGCUUAACGUAUGGGCUGCCGGGAAUACUGCAUAACUAGGGAGUGGGAGAGGUAGACGGUACUCGGUAGGAAGGGGUAAAAUCCUUUGAUCUAUUGAUGACCACCUGUGGCGAAGGCGGUCUACCAGAACACGUUCGACGGUGAGGGAUGAAAGCUGGGGGAGCAAACCGGAUUAGAUACCCGGGUAGUCCCAGCUGUAAACUAUGCAAACUCAGUGAUGCAUUGGCUUGUGGCCAAUGCAGUGCUGCAGGGAAGCCGUUAAGUUUGCCGCCUGGGAAGUACGUACGCAAGUAUGAAACUUAAAGGAAUUGGCGGGGGAGCACCACAAGGGGUGAAGCCUGCGGU